rnacentral:rRNA from 1 species
CACGUGGAUAACCUGCCCUUAGGUUUGGCAUAACUCCGGGAAACUGGAGAUAAUUCCGAAUAGGUCACAUAUGCUGGAAUGCUUUUUGGCCAAAAGACUUCGGUUGCCUAAGGAUGGAUCUGCGGUCUAUCAGGUAGUAGUGGGUGUAACGUACCUACUAGCCUACGACGGAUAUGGGUCGUGAGAGCAAGAGCCCAGAGAUGGAUUCUGAGACAUGAAUCCAGGCCCUACGGGGCGCAGCAGGCGCGAAAACUUUACAAUGCGGGAAACCGCGAUAAGGGGACACCGAGUGCCAGCAUUUAUGUUGGCUGUCCACAUGUGUAAACGGCAUGUGUUAGCAAGGGCCGGGCAAGACCGGUGCCAGCCGCCGCGGUAACACCGGCGGCCCGAGUGGUAAUCACUUUUAUUGGGUCUAAAGGGUCCGUAGCCGGUUUGAUCAGUUCUUCGGGAAAUCUGACAGCUCAACUGUUAGGCUUCCGGGGAAUACUGUCAGACUUGGGACCGGGAGAGGUAAGAGGUACUACAGGGGUAGGAGUGAAAUCUUGUAAUCCCUGUGGGACCACCUGUGGCGAAGGCGUCUUACCAGAACGGGUCCGACGGUGAGGGACGAAAGCUGGGGGCACGAACCGGAUUAGAUACCCGGGUAGUCCCAGCCGUAAACGAUGUUCGCUAGGUGUCAGGGGCGGUGCGACUGCUUCUGGUGCCGUAGGGAAGCCGUGAAGCGAACCACCUGGGAAGUACGGCCGCAAGGCUGAAACUUAAAGGAAUUGGCGGGGGAGCACUACAACGGGUGGAGCCUGCGGUUUAAUUGGAUUCAACGCCGGG